UCUGGGCAUGGUGGCGCAUGCCUAUAAUCCCAGCUACUUGGGAGGCUGAGGCAGGAGAAUCGCUUGAACCCGGGAGGUGGAGGUUGCAGUGAGCCGAGGUCAUGCCACUGCACUCCCGCCUGGGCAACAGAGCAAGACUCUGCCUCAA
rnacentral:SRP_RNA from 1 species